UCUACGGGUGGCAGCAGUGGGGGAUAUUGCACAAUGGGGGGAACCCUGAUGCAGCGACGCCGCGUGGGUGAAGAAGCGCCUCGGCGCGUAAAGCCCUGUCAGCAGGGAAGAAAAUGACGGUACCUGAAGAAGAAGCCCCGGCUAACUACGUGCCAGCAGCCGCGGUAAUACGUAGGGGGCAAGCGUUAUCCGGAUUUAUUGGUUUUAAAGGGUGCGUAGGCGGAAUGCCAAGUCAGCGGUAAAAUCGCGGGGCUCAACCUCGCUCCGCCGUUGAAACUGGCGUUCUUGAGUGGGCGAGAAGUAUGCGGAAUGCGUGGUGUAGCGGUGAAAUGCAUAGAUAUCACGCAGAACUCCGAUUGCGAAGGCAGCUUACCAAACUAUAUCUGACGUUGAGGCACGAAAGCGUGGGUAGCAAACAGGAUUAGAUACCCGAGUAGUC
rnacentral:rRNA from 1 species